CCAUGGCUCAGUUGGUAGAGCGACGCAUUCGUAAUGCGUAGGUCGCCGGUUCAAGUCCGGCU
rnacentral:tRNA from 1 species